rnacentral:misc_RNA from 1 species
GUGGCGGCCGCGAGGCCGUCGCUGAGAUAGAACCCUUGCCAUUUUUGAGUACCCUUCCGUUUCCUCGGCAGGUCCGCCUGCCAACGGGGACCCAACGAAAACCUCUUGCAACCUGACACGCCGUCUGAAUCAAAAACAAGCAAAUCAAAACUUUCAACAACGGAUCUCUUGGUUCU